AUGGGGCACAGCUCCGUGGAUAUAUGGGACACAGCUCCGUGGAUAUAUGGGGCACAUCUCCAUGGAUAUAUGGGGCACAGCUCCGUGGAUAUAUGGGGCACAGCUCCGUGGAUAUAUGGGGCACAGCUCCGUGGACAUAUGUGUCACAGCUCCGUGGGCACAGUGACCACAGCUCUGUGGAUAUAUGGGGCACAUCUCCAUGGAUAUAUGGGGCACAGCUCCAUGGGCACAGUGACCACAGCUCCGUGGAUAUAUGGGGCACAGCUCCGUGGGCACAGUGACCACAGCUCCGUGGAUAUAUGGGGCACAGCUCCGUGGAUAUAUGGGGCACAGCUCCGUGGAUAUAUGGGGCACAGCUCCGUGGACAUAUGGGGCACAGCUCCGUGGAUAUAUGGGGCACAGCUCCGUGGGCACAUUGACCACAGCCCCAUGGAUAUAUGGGGCACAGCUCCGUGGACAUAUGGGGCACAGCUCCGUGGAUAUAUGGGGCACAGCUCCAUGGAUAUAUGGGGCACAGCUCCGUGGAUAUAUGGGGCACAGCUCCGUGGACAUAUGGGGCACAGCUCCGUGGAUAUAUGGGGCACAGCUCCGUGGAUAUAUGGGGCACAGCUCCGUGGGCACAUUGACCACAGCCCCAUGGAUAUAUGGGGCACAGCUCCGUGGACAUAUGGGGCACAGCUCCGUGGAUAUAUGGGGCACAGCUCCAUGGAUAUAUGGGGCACAGCUCCGUGGAUAUAUGGGGCACAGCUCCGUGGACAUAUGGGGCACAGCUCCGUGGAUAUAUGGGGCACAGCUCCGUGGAUAUAUGGGGCACAGCUCCGUGGGCACAUUGACCACAGCCCCAUGGAUAUAUGGGGCACAGCUCCGUGGACAUAUGGGGCACAGCUCCGUGGAUAUAUGGGGCACAGCUCCAUGGAUAUAUGGGGCACAGCUCCGUGGAUAUAUGGGGCACAGCUCCGUGGACAUAUGGGGCACAGCUCCGUGGAUAUAUGGGGCACAGCUCCGUGGAUAUAUGGGGCACAGCUCCGUGGGCACAGAGACCACAUCUCCACGGACACACGGAUCAGACCUCCACGGACACACGGAUCGGAUCUCCACGGACACACAGAUCAGAGCCCCACGGACACACGGAUCCACGGACACACGGAUCCACGGACACACGGAUCAGAUCUCCACAGACACACGGAUCAGACCCCCACGGACACACGGAUCCACGGACACAGACACACGGAUUGGACCUCCACGGACACAGAUCAGAUCUCCACAGACACACAGAUUGGACCUCCACGGACACAAGGAUCCACGGACACACGGAUCAGAGCCCCACAGACACACGGAUCAGAGCCCCACAGACACACGGAUCCACGGACACACGGAUCAGACCUCCACGGACACACGGAUCCAUGGACACGGACAUGCAGAUCAGAUCUCCACGGACACACGGAUCCACGGACACACGGAUCGGACCUCCACGGACACAUGGAUCCACGGACACACGGAUCAGAGCCCCACGGACACACGGAUCAGACCUCCACAGACACAGAUCAGACCUCCACGGACACACGAAUCAGACCUCCACAGACACACGGAUCAGAUCUCCACGGACACACGGAUCCACAGACACACGGAUCGGAUGUCCACAGACACACGGAUCCACGGACACACGGAUCAGACCUCCACGGACACACAGAUCCACGGACACGGAAACACGGAUCCACAGACACGGACACACAGAUCCACGUACACGGACACACAGAUCAGAUCUCCACGGACACACGGAUCCAUGGACACACGGAUCAGACCUGCACGGACACACGGAUCCACGGACACGCAGAUCAGAUCUCCAUGGACACACGGAUCCACGGACACACGGAUCGGAUCUCCACGGAGACACAGAUCCACAGACACACGGGUCGGACCUCCACGGACACAGAUCAGAUCUCCACGGACACACGGAUCCACGGGCACACAGAUCAGACCUCCAUGGACACACGGAUCGGAUGUCCACAGACACACGGAUCAGACCUCCACGGACACACGGAUCCACGGACACACGGAUCGGACCUCCACGGACACACGGAUCCACGGACACAGACACACGGAUCAGACCUCCACAGACACAGAUCAGACCUCCACGGACACACGAAUCAGACCUCCACAGACACACGGAUCCACGGACACACGGAUCAGACCUCCACGGACACACGGAUCCAUGGACACGGAAACACGGAUCCACGGACACACGGAUUGGACCUCCACGGACACACGGAUCCAUGGACACGGAAACACGGAUCCACAGACACGGACACACGGAUGCACGGACACGGACACGCAGAUCAGACCUCCAUGGACACACGGAUCAGACCUCCACGGACACACAGAUCGGACCUCCACGGACACACGGAUCCACGGACACACGGAUCGGACCUCCACAGACACAGAUCAGACCUCCACGGACACACGGAUCCACGGACACACGGAUCAGAGCCCCACAGACACACGGAUCAGACCUCCACGGACACACGGAUCAGACCUCCACAGACACACGGAUCCAUGGACACGGACACACAGAUCAGACCUCCACGGACACACGGAUCGGAUCUCCACGGACACACGGAUCCACGGACACGGACACACGGAUCAGACCUCCACGGACACACGGAUCAGACCUCCACAGACACACGGAUCCAUGGACACGGACACACGGAUCAGACCUCCACGGACACACGGAUCAGACCUCCACGGACACACGAAUCCACGGACACACAGAUCAGAUCUCCACGGACACACAGAUCCACGGACACAUGGAUCAGAUCUCCACGGACACACGGAUCCACGGACACACGGAUCAGAGCCCCACAGACACACGGAUCAGACCUCCACGGACACACGGAUCAGACCUCCACAGACACACGGAUCCAUGGACACGGACACACAGAUCAGACCUCCACGGACACACGGAUCGGAUCUCCACGGACACACGGAUCCACGGACACGGACACACGGAUCAGACCUCCACGGACACACGGAUCAGACCUCCACAGACACACGGAUCCAUGGACACGGACACACGGAUCAGACCUCCACGGACACACGGAUCAGACCUCCACGGACACACGAAUCCACGGACACACAGAUCAGAUCUCCACGGACACACAGAUCCACGGACACAUGGAUCAGAUCUCCACGGACACACGGAUCCACGGACACACGGAUCAGAGCCCCACAGACACACGGAUCAGACCUCCACGGACACACGGAUCAGACCUCCACAGACACACGGAUCCAUGGACACGGACACACAGAUCAGACCUCCACGGACACACGGAUCGGAUCUCCACGGACACACGGAUCCACGGACACGGACACACGGAUCAGAUCUCCACGGACACACGGAUCCACGGACACACAGAUCAGACCUCCACGGACACACGGAUCGGAUGUCCACAGACACACGGAUCAGACCUCCACGGACACACGGAUCCACGGACACACGGAUCAGAGCCCCACGGACACACGGAUCAGACCUCCACGGACACACGGAUCCACGGACAGACGGAUCAGACCUCCACAGACACAGAUCAGACCUCCACGGACACACGGAUCAGAUCUCCACGGACACACGGAUCCACAGACACACGGAUCGGAUGUCCACAGACACACGGAUCCACGGACACACGGAUCAGACCUCCACGGACACACAGAUCCACGGACACGGAAACACGGAUCCACAGACACGGACACACGGAUCCACGUACACGGACACACAGAUCAGAUCUCCACGGACACACGGAUCCAUGGACACACGGAUCAGACCUGCACGGACACACGGAUCAGAGCCCCACGGACACACGGAUCCACGGACACGCAGAUCAGAUCUCCAUGGACACACGGAUCCACGGACACAUGGAUCAGAUCUCCACGGACACACAGAUCCACGGACACACAGAUCAGACCUCCACGGACACACGGAUCAGACCUCCACGGACACACGGAUCCAUGGACACGGACACACGGAUCAGACCAACACGGACACACGGAUCAGACCUCCACGGACACACGGAUCCAUGGACACGGACACACGGAUCAGACCUCCACGGACACGCAGAUCAGAGCCCCACGGACACACGGAUCAGACCUCCACGGACACACGGAUCCACGGACACACGGAUCGGACCUCCACAGACACAGAUCAGACCUCCACGGACACACGGAUCAGACCUCCACGGACACACGGAUCCAUGGACACGGAAACACGGAUCCACAGACAUGGACACACGGAUCCACGUACACGGACACACAGAUCAGACCUCCACGGACACACGGAUCCACGGACACACAGAUCAGAUCUCCACGGACACACCGAUCGGACCUCCACAGACACACGGAUCCAUGGACACACAGAUCAGACCUCCACGGACACACAGAUCGGAUCUCCACGGACACACGGAUCCACAGACACGGACACACGGAUCAGACCUCCACAGACACGCAGAUCAGAUCUCCACAGACACACGGAUCGGACCUCCACGGACACACAGAUCCACGGACACACGGAUCAGAGCCCCACGGACACACGGAUCCACGGACACACGGAUCAGACCUCCACGGACACACGAAUCAGACCUCCACAGACACACGGAUCAGAUCUCCACAGACACACGGAUCAGAGCCCCACGGACACACGGAUCCACGGACACACGGAUCCACAGACACACGGAUCAGAGCCCCACAGACACACGGAUCCACGGACACACGGAUCAGAUCUCCACGGACACACGGAUCAGACCUCCACGGACACACGGAUCCACAGACACACGGAUCGGAUCUCCACGGACACACGGAUCAGACCUCCACGGACACACAGAUCAGAUCUCCACGGACACACAGAUCCACAGACACACGGAUCAGAGCCCCACGGACACACGGAUCCACAGACACACGGAUCGGAUGUCCACAGACACACGGAUCCACGGACACACAGAUCUCCACGGACACACGGAUCAGACCUCCACGGACACACGAAUCAGACCUCCACAGACACACGGAUCAGAGCCCCACGGACACACGGAUCCAUGGACACAUGGAUCGGACCUCCACGGACACACGGAUCCACGGACACACGGAUCGGACCUCCACGGACACACGGAUCCACGGACACGCAGAUCAGAUCUCCAUGGACACACGGAUUCACGGACACACGGAUCGGACCUCCACGGACACACGGAUCAGACCUCCACGGACACACGGAUCCACGGACACGGACACACGGAUCAGAGCCCCACGGACACACGGAUCAGACCUCCAUGGUCACACGGAUCAGAUCUCCACAGACACAUGGAUUGGACCUCCACGGACACACGGAUCAGACCUCCACGGACAUACGGAUCGGAUCUCCACGGACACACGGAUCCACGGACACGGACACACGGAUCCACGGACACACGGAUCAGAGCCCCACGGACACACGGAUCAGACCUCCACGGACACACGGAUCGGAUCUCCACGGACACACGGAUCCACGGACACACGGAUCAGAGACCCACGGACACACGGAUCAGACCUCCACGGACACACGGAUCCACAGACACACGGAUCGGAUGUCCACAGACACACGGAUCAGACCUCCAUGGACACACGGAUCCACGGACACACAGAUCAGAGCCCCACGGACACACAGAUCAGAGCCCCACGGACAGACGGAUCGGACCUCCACGGACACAUGGAUCGGACCUCCACGGACACACGGAUCAGAGCCCCACGGACACACGGAUCAGACCUCCAUGGUCACACAGAUCAGAUCUCCACAGACACACGGAUCCACAGACACACGGAUCAGACCUCCACGGACACACGGAUCCACGGACACGGAAACACGGAUCCACAGACACGGACACACGGAUCCACGGACACACAGAUCAGAGCCCCACGGACACACGUAUCCACGUACACCCGGACACGUGGGCCGCAUCUCCCCCCCGGGCUCAUUGACCCCCUCGAAUCUCCCCCAAAACUUCUCUCUGUCCUCAAAAAAAAAGCCACCAUUUUAUUCCCGGCCCCCCCCCCCCACCACCACCACGGGGACCCCCAUACCGCCCCCUGCCCACCCCGGGGGUCUCACAUCCCGGCGCUCGGACCGGCCGACUCCGGAAGGACCCCAUCCUGUGGACAGGGGGGGAGGGGGGGGUGGUAUAAGGGGGGGGG
rnacentral:lncRNA from 7 species